UGGUCAUGGCCACCAGAAGUCAUGGGGACGGCCACUGGUAUGGUCAUGGGGACGACUACAGUCGUGGCCAUGGGAAUGGUCAACCGUGUGAUCGUGGCCACCAGUGUGGUCAUAGGGUUGGUCACCAGCGUGGUCAAGGCUGCUGGCCAUGGCCACCAUGGGGAUGGCCGCCAGCUUGGCCAUCGGUGCUGCCAUGGGGACCAUCAUCCCCGUGGUCAUGGUUAUAGGGAUUGUCACCAGCAGAGUCACGGGGACAGCACAGCCACAGUGACCAGCGUGACUGUGGUGGCAUCACGAGGACAACCGUCAGGGCCAUGGUGACCUAACGGCCUUUGGGGACACGAUGAGGCCCUGUGGGGACACCGUGAGCCCUCUGGGGACAUGAUGUGACAGCUGGCUCCUGCCUGGAGGGAGGAAGGGACAGACGGAGGGAUGAGGACAGGGAUGGAGGAACGAGGGGACAGAGGGACAGACGGACAGAUGCAGGGACGGAUGGAGGGUGUUGGGUACCAGAGGAUGGACAGACAGAUGAGGUGAGGCCGGAGGAAGGGAAGGGGUGGGGGGGGGUCUGGGUGGGUGUCACCCAUUUGCGGCGCUGUGCCGGGCCGGCUCUGGGUCUAGGAGCACCCCAACCCCUUCCCAGGGGAUCCAGGCAGCCGGGAGACCCCGUCAUCCCCCUCCCCAUGUCCCCAGGCAUCUGGGGACCCCAGCUUCUCAAGCCCUGGUGUCCCCAAGGGCCGUCCCCACGUUGGACCUCCUGGGGGCCUGUCCAACUGGGAUGAUCCCAGGGGAUGUAGGGUUGCCGGGGGGGGGGGGGGGGGCAGAAGGAUCUCAUCGCAAUUUCCUGGCCCUUAAGCCCCCCCCCCAGGGUGCUCACCCAUGGGUUGCAAUGACCAAAGAGGGUUCCAUCACCCUGGGUACCCAUCACCCACCCAUCAUUGAUGGGUGGGCAACUCUAGGGACCCAUCCAACCUUGGGUCUAUCACCCUUUGGGGGGGUCAACCCUGGGAGAACAUCCCACCUUGGGGUGGUUAACAGGGUACCCAGCACCCUUGGGGUGGUAAACCCCAGGGUCCCAUCAAUCCUUGGGCCCAUCAAGCUCAAAGUCGUUAACCGCGAGGGCUCAUCACGCUGGUGAACCAUCAAUGAUGGGUCAUUAAUCCUGGGGGGGGGGGGCCAUCAGCCCGGACCCAGCGACCCCUCCCACACCUGAGCGGCCAGGACUGAAAGCUGUUGGUGGCCACCCCCCAACCGUCCCUUGGUAGCCCCUUCACCCCACCAACACCGGGGCUCUGCGCUUGUUCUACCACCCAACCCUCACCCUGCAGCCCCCCCCCCCCCCCCGAGCCCAUUGAGGUCUCCCGCACUGCACGGCGGUCGUCUCCCCUUGAGCAAAGACGUCUCCCAAGGUCACCCCUCGAGGCUGAGGGACCCCUUAGCCGGCAUCCGAUAUCCGCAACGGGUUAACCCUGCCAACGAUGGCUUCUCUCAGUAAUUCACCUCAUCGGCGUAGCCGGCAGGAUGGCGGAUUCGAUCGCUGGUGAUUUACGGCGGCACGGAGUGAGCCCUCUUUGGAAGUUGGGGAUGGAGAUCAUCUGGGAGGACCCCGACCAAGAACUUAGCCAGGAGAAUGAAUUAGACGAACCAGAAUAAUUUUAUUAUUAAACCCGAGGUAUCUGCCGGACCCCAGGGAGGCAACCGGAGAAAUACCAUGAAGACCAUUCCACAGCAUCCCCUUCAACUGGCCAAUCCGCAGGGACAAUGCAGCGACGUGGCGCAUCGCCGUCACUGGAGACGACCGUAUUGACUUAGACCAAGACGAAGCGGACGGCUUUUGAGGACCGGGAGCAUCCUUGACCGAGGGAGCAGCCCCUAACACCGAACCGCGCUCUACCACGUGCCGAGUGGCGUAUUGGGUGGGGGGCAAAGACCCUUGGGAUGGCAGCGGGGAGCCCACUGCUGUACCAGUAAGACCAUUAAGUGAACUUUCCACUGCCCCUGUAGACCGUCAAGCCAUGAGACUGCUGGUAAGGGGAGCCCUUGCUGUCUUAAAACCAUACCUCAUUGCAAAAAAAAAAAAAAAAAAAAAAAGGGGGGGAGGAAAUAAGGCAAAAAUAACACUCGGGAGGGUCAAGAUGGCCAACCCAACCUCCGCCCCCUCCCAGCCUGGGCAGAAUUGAUGCGUGGCAUCAUCAAUCAUAAAUCAAUAUUGCGGCGGUUAUAACUGCCCUAGCAAAAAGACAAAUUCUCUCCCAAACGUCCUCCCUGGAUAAUUCUCCAGCGUGGCCAAUAAAAAAACCAGACAGGAGAUGGCGCUUAAUCAUAGAUGCUAGAAAGUUAAAUGCAGACAUCGCUCCUCUUGCGGAUAUUGCUGCAUGAACCGCCACCUGCCAAGCAGCCACUCGCCCCUGGAUGGCAGUACUUGAUGUAA